UACGUAGGGUCCGAGCGUUGUCCGGAAUUAUUGGGCGUAAAGGGCUCGUAGGCGGUUUGUCACGUCGGGAGUGAAAACUCAGGGCUCAACCCUGAGCGUGCUUCCGAUACGGGCAGACUAGAGGUAUGCAGGGGAGAACGGAAUUCCUGGUGUAGCGGUGGAAUGCGCAGAUAUCAGGAGGAACACCGGUGGCGAAGGCGGUUCUCUGGGCAUUACCUGACGCUGAGGCGCGAAAGCUAGGGGAGCGAACAGG
rnacentral:rRNA from 1 species